GGAGAGGAAGUGCGUGUGAGGAACUGGGAGCAAGAGGUGCAAGGAGCUGUUGGUGCACCCAAAUGAGUGAACAAACUGUUACAUGCUGCCAUAACAGUAGUGGGAUGAAGACUCCAACAGUGAAAGACAUAAGAGUAACAAUAAUGAAGGAAGCUUCAACGGGACAUCUUAUGGUUCAUGGUUACUCCAGCCCCAGAGCGCCCACGGAGUCAGUGCCUAUGGUGCCAUCUCUUGUUCACAAUGCACCCUCAGUUCUAUACUACUGAUCAUGCAAAGGUGAGCCCGGUUAUCAGUCUGAUGCAUUAGACUGGGCCUUCCCCUGCUUGGAGUGUCACAGUCCGGUACUGUCGACCUGGGAGGUCUUCAUCCAAGGCAUGUUGGUGGUAUUUGAUGAUCUGCACCAAGUUCAAAUGUCAGAGGCUGUCCUAAGGAAGUUCUUACAAGGGCAGGGCACCAUAGCCUCGUAUGCUACACAAUUCUGCUGCCUCACCACUGAUACAGACAGGAACAAGGUGACACACGUGCCAGUUCCCAUGGGGUCUUCAAGAAGAAGUUAAAGAUGAAUUAAUCCAGGUAGAGAUGCCCAUGAGUCUGGAUGCCCUCAUGGAUCUCGUCAUCCAUAUAGACAAUUGGUUACAGAAACAAAGGGAGGAAAAAAUGGGGUUCUUGCAAUCCUCCAAUCCAGGUUCACAACUACCUCCCAUUGAGCCAAUGCAGCUGGAUGUGGACUGUCAAUGGAUCACCUCUGUAGAAAAGUAAUGAUAACACCAGUGCCAUCUCUGCUUCUACUGUGAUGAGUCAGGUCACUUUAUCUCUGUCUGCCUCAUAGGAAUGCCAAGGAAUCAGGGACAAGAGCUCCCCCACACUUCAGUCUUGUCUGGAACACAUCUGGAACCCCACUUGCAUGUGCCAGUCCAGUUGCACAUACUUGGGGUGUCCCUGCAAAAUCCUGUCCUCCCAGCCCUCAACAACUCAGGAGCAGCUGACUGCUUCAUUGAUGCAGCGGCAGCCCAGAUCCUGCAGAUUCCCCUACAAUGCAAGGCCACUCCUGACCUUAUAGAGACUAUUGACAGUUCCCCCUUUUGUCUUCUGGUCCAGCCACAGAGAAAACAACUUCCCUGGAGGCUGUGACUGAGGGGUACUGAAAAAUAUUACACGUUGGUGUGAUCCAUUCUCCAUGUUUUCCCCUGAUCCUUGGUAUCUCCUUGCUGUCCCUCCACAAUCUGCUCAUCUGGUGACAAGCACAGGAAGUCUGUUUUCCAUCACAGUUUUGUAGACAGUACUGUUGGGGACCAGUAGCUCCAGUCCCAGCAUCCGAACCUGGAGUGGCUCAGAUUGGGGUGGCUAUCCAGGCAGAACCUUUCACUGAAGCAACAACUGAACUCCACUCAAAAUACCAAGACUACACUGAUGUUUUUGAAAAGAAUGAGGAAACUCUACCUCUGUAUGGGGACUAUGACUACCCAAUUGAACUGCAGCCAGGAGCAAAAAUACCGUUCAGAUGAAUUUAUGUAAUGUCAGAACCUGAGCUGAGAGCACUCUGAGUACCUUCAGGAGAACCUGGCUUGAGGGUGUAUCCACAAGACAAUGUCACUGGCUGAUGCACCAGUACUUUUUGUCAAGAAGAAAGACGAUCUCUGACUUUACAGUUAUCUGACUCAGUGCACAGUAAUCAAUAUCAGGAAUCAUUACACAC